AUGGAAAUAUCUGAUUAUAUAACACAAUUUGAAGAAGACCUAAACAAGCUACAGAAUAAAUGCAAAAAUAAUAAAUAUUUUGUAUUAGAGUUAGAUAGAAAAGGUGAAGAUUUAAAAAUGGCGUGGGAAGUAUUUGACGACUUAACCAAACAAAUUGACAAAAAAAGGGCAGACACUAGAAAUAUCCAUUUACAUAGCAUAAAUGAACCAUUUACUAGUAUAGAUGUAUUUACUGCAAAAAGCCAUUUAAGUGGAAUGGUUUUUGAAAAUCAGCACUUUGAAUUACCUACAGAUAUGCCAAGUGAAUGCAGCAAAACACUUGCUAAAUGCAUUUUGAAUAAAAGUUUAGAUGUUGAAAAGUGCUACACAUGUCAUAUACAAGGUCUUGAAUUAAUCACAAACUUAUCGUGCCUUAUGUAUAGUAAUUAUCCCAUACCCUUUUUGUAUUUCGACGAACAAAUGGAUACAGAUAAUGAAAAAAAAAAACAAAAAAAAGAAGAACCUUAACAAAAUGACUUAACAUCGUCAUUUUUGGAUGAUGACACAGAUCCACAGGAUAAACCAAAAACAAACGCUGCAAAAUUACAUAAUAAACAUCAAUAUAUAAUAAAUAACA
rnacentral:lncRNA from 1 species